CCUACGGGCGGCAGCAGUGGGGAAUAUUGCACAAUGGGGGAAACCCUGAUGCAGCGACGCCGCGUGAGUGAAGAAGGAAUUCGUUAUGUUAAGCUCUAUCAGCAGGGAAGAAAAGGACGGUACCUGAGUAAGAAACCCCGGCUAACUACGUGCCAGCAUCCGCGGUCAUACGGAGGGGGCAAGCGUUAUCCGGAUUUACUGGGUGGAAAGGGAGCGUAGACGGCAGUGCAAGGCUGGAGUGAAAGGCGGGGGCUCAAACACCGGACUGCUCUGGAAACUGUACGGCUGGAGUGAAGGAGAGGUAAGUGGAAUGCGUAGUGUAGCGGUGAAAUGCGUAGAUAUUAGGAGGAACACCAGUGGCGAAGGCGGCUUACUGGACUGUAACUGACGUUGAGGCUCGAAAGCGUGGGGAGCAAACAGGAUUAGAUACCCGGGUAGUC
rnacentral:rRNA from 1 species